UACGUAGGGGGCAAGCGUUGUCCGGAAUCAUUGGGCGUAAAGAGCGUGUAGGCGGUCCGGUAAGUCGGUUGUGAAAGUCCAGGGCUCAACCCUGGGAUGCCGACCGAUACUGUCGGACUAGAGUUCGAAAGAGGCGAGUGGAAUUCCCGGUGUAGCGGUGAAAUGCGCAGAUAUCGGGAGGAACACCUAUGGCGAAGGCAGCUCGCUGGGACGUUACUGACGCUGGGACGCGAAAGCGUGGGGAGCAAACAGG
rnacentral:rRNA from 1 species